UCCCCAUGAGGAAGAUCACCCAAAUUGAUAGGAAGUGCCGUAUGACACUCCAAACAGCAGCGAUUGC